AGGCUUAGCCAUGCCGCGUGAGUGAAGAAGGCCUUCGGGUUGUGGAGGGCUCUGGUUAAGCCGGGAAGAAAAGGUUGCGACUAAUAAGUCGUGAUCCAUUGACGGUACCGGAAGAAGAAGCACCGGCUAACUACGUGCCUCAGUUCCGCGAAUACGUAGGGUGCGAGCUGUUAAUCGGAUAUUACUGGGCGUAAAGGGUGCGCAGGCGGUCUUGUAAGUCAGAUGUGAAAUAGCCCCGGGCUUAACCUGGGAAUUUGCGUAAUUGAAACUACAAGACUAGAGUGUAGCAGAGGGGGGUGGAAUUCACAUGUGUAGCAGUGAAAUGCGUAGAGAUAUGGAAGAACACCGAUGGCGAAGGCAGCCCUGGGCUAACACUGACGCUCAGGCACGAAAGCGUGGGCAGCAACCAGGAUUAGAUACCCUGGUAGUCCACGCCCUAAACGAUGUCAACUAGUUGUCGGGCCUUCAUAGGCUUGGUAACGUAGCUAACGCGUGAAGUUGACCGCCUGGGGAGUACGGUCGCAAGAUUAAAACUCAAGAAUUGACGUUGUUGGA
rnacentral:rRNA from 1 species